AACGAACGCUGGCGGCAUGCCUAACACAUGCAAGUCGAACGAGAUCUUCGGGUCUAGUGGCGCACGGGUGCGUAACGCGUGGGAAUCUGCCCUUUGGCUCGGAAUAACAGUUGGAAACGACUGCUAAUACCGGAUGAUGACGGAAGUCCAAAGAUUUAUCGCCAGAGGAUGAGCCCGCGUAGGAUUAGCUAGUUGGUGUGGUAAAGGCGCACCAAGGCGACGAUCCUUAGCUGGUCUGAGAGGAUGAUCAGCCACACUGGGACUGAGACACGGCCCAGACUCCUACGGGAGGCAGCAGUGGGGAAUAUUGGACAAUGGGCGAAAGCCUGAUCCAGCAAUGCCGCGUGAGUGAUGAAGGCCUUAGGGUUGUAAAGCUCUUUUACCCGGGAUGAUAAUGACAGUACCGGGAGAAUAAGCUCCGGCUAACUCCGUGCCAGCAGCCGCCGUAA
rnacentral:rRNA from 1 species